rnacentral:rRNA from 1 species
UGGGGAAUAUUGGACAAUGGGGGCAACCCUGAUCCAGCCAUGCCGCGUGUGUGAAGAAGGCCUUUUGGUUGUAAAGCACUUUAAGCAGUGAAGAAGACUCCAUGGUUAAUACCCAUGGACGAUGACAUUAGCUGCAGAAUAAGCACCGGCUAACUCUGUGCCAGCAGCCGCGGUAAUACAGAGGGUGCAAGCGUUAAUCGGAAUUACUGGGCGUAAAGCGAGCGUAGGGGGCUUGAUAAGUCAGAUGUGAAAGCCCCGGGCUUAACCUGGGAACGGCAUCUGAUACUGUUAGGCUAGAGUAGGUGAGAGGAAGGUAGAAUUCCAGGUGUAGCGGUGAAAUGCGUAGAGAUCUGGAGGAAUACCGAUGGCGAAGGCAGCCUUCUGGCAUCAUACUGACACUGAGGUUCGAAAGCGUGGGUAGCAAACA